rnacentral:rRNA from 1 species
ACGCUGNGCGNGCAUGCCUUACACAUGCAAGUCGAACGGCAGCACGGGAGCAAUCCUGGUGGCGAGUGGCGAACGGGUGAGUAAUAUAUCGGAACGUGCCCAAUCGUGGGGGAUAACGCAGCGAAAGCUGUGCUAAUACCGCAUACGAUCUACGGAUGAAAGCGGGGGACUCGCAAGAGCCUCGCGCGAAUGGAGCGGCCGAUAUCAGAUAGCUAGUUGGCGGGGUAAAAGCCCACCAAGGCGACGAUCUGUAGCUGGUCUGAGAGGACGACCAGCCACACUGGAACUGAGACACGGUCCAGACUCCUACGGGAGGCAGCAGUGGGGAGUUUUGGACAAUGGGCGCAAGCCUGAUCCAGCAAUGCCGCGUGCAGGAUGAAGGCCUUCGGGUUGUAGACUGCUUUUGUACGGAACGAAACGGUCCUUUCUAAUAAAGAGGGCUAAUGACGGUACCGUAAGAAUAAGCACCGGCUAACUACGUGCCAGCAGCCGCGGUAAUACGUAGGGUGCGAGCGUUAAUCGGAAUUACUGGGCGUAAAGCGUGCGCAGGCGGUGAUGUAAGACAGAUGUGAAAUCCCCGGGCUCAACCUGGGACCUGCAUUUGUGACUGCAUCGCUAGAGUACGGUAGAGGGGGAUGGAAUUCCGCGUGUAGCANUGAAAUGCGUAAAUNUGCGGAGGAACACCGAUGGCGAAGGCAUCCCUGGACUGUACUGACGCUCAUGCACGAAAGCGUGGGGAGCAAACAGGAUUAGAUACCUGGUANUCCCCCCCUAAACNAUUUCNACUGGUUGUUGGGUCUUUACUGAC